ACUCCUGCAAUCCGCUAACAAAAAUUUCAACUUCCUGGUCGGUGGUGAGAGGUCCGGCUCUGGCUGCUAAUUGCUCAAAUUGGCGUUGAUAGUCCUCUACUGCACCCAAUUGACGUAGUUUGGACAGCUCCCCCAAUUUAUUACUUUGGAUAGAUGGCCCAAAUCGGAGGAGGCAAUGCCGUUUAAAUUCUUCCCAAGUAAUCCCAGGG
rnacentral:misc_RNA from 1 species